CUCAAAACAGGGCCCCCAUUCCCAAACUGGGAUGUCAAACUAAUUUUAGGGGCCGCAUGGAGGAAAAUCUACUCCCAUGUGGGCCGCCGGUGUUACGUUCUGGUCGCAUUGUUGCGGUGGUCGUGUCCCCAAGAUGCAGAAAGGACCGCAGGAAAAGGAGAGUGCAGGGUUGCGGGGGGUGCUGGAGCCUAUCUUAGCUGCAUUGAGACGGAAGGCGGUGUACACCCUGGACAAGUUGCCACCUCAUUACAGGGCCAACACAGAUAGACAGACAACAUUCACACACUAGGGACCAAUCAUUUAGUGUUAUAACUUAAAAAAUAAGGACAACUUCAGAUUGUUUUUUGUUUUACUCUGGCCAAAAAUACAACAAGCUGAAGAAUAUUGUUAUAAUAUUGCCUCAUUCAUUAUCUACAGCUUGUGUGGCUAACAUACUGCUCAAUCGAAACGUAUCUGUUCAUGCAGAGAAGCAGCGCAUCCUGUACGUGUUUACAUGUAGCUCCUGCAGACAAACACCACAUCCUGUGCAAAUUUCGGGUCAUACAGAGGGCAGGCAGAUGUUCUUCAUAUAACAGCCACAGAUUAAAUCUUCUGGUGAACGCAGUACUUUUACAUUAACUGACACAUUGCAAAAGACACCGCCUAUCUGAAUGAAUAAAAACACGAAUCAUCCAGAGAGCCAUUGCCAUUUUGCUUAAAUUGCCCAUGUGUUGACAUGUUGAUCUUUGUAAAUCGCCCAGAUAUCUGAAUAAAGACUUAACUUUGA